rnacentral:rRNA from 1 species
AGCAGUAGCCACGGUAAUACAGAGGGUGCGAGCGUUAAUCGGAUUUACUGGGCGUAAAGCGUGCGUAGGCGGCUUCUUAAGUCGGAUGUGAAAUCCCUGAGCUUAACUUAGGAAUUGCAUUCGAUACUGGGAAGCUAGAGUAUGGGAGAGGAUGGUAGAAUUCCAGGUGUAGCGGUGAAAUGCGUAGAGAUCUGGAGGAAUACCGAUGGCGAAGGCAGCCAUCUGGCCUAAUACUGACGCUGAGGUACGAAAGCAUGGGGAGCAAACAGGAUUAGAUACCCCAGUAGUCCCUGGCUCUUAUAC